UACGUAGGGUGCAAGCGUUAAUCGGAAUUACUGGGCGUAAAGCGUGCGCAGGCGGUUUUGUAAGUCAGAUGUGAAAUCCCCGGGCUUAACCUGGGAAUGGCAUUGGUGACUGCACGGCUAGAGUGUGUCAGGAGGGGGUAGAAUUCCACGUGUAGCAGUGAAAUGCGUAGAGAGUGUGGAGGAAUACCGAAUGGCGAAGGCAGCCCCCUGGGAUAACACUGACGCUCAUGCACGAAAGC
rnacentral:rRNA from 1 species